rnacentral:rRNA from 1 species
GACGAACGCUGGCGGCGUGCUUAACACAUGCAAGUCGAACGGGUCUGCCCUGUUUUUUGCGGGGUGGGUCAGUGGCGAACGGGUGAGUAACACGUGAGUAACCUGCCCCUCACUUCUGGAUAACCGCUUGAAAGGGUGGCUAAUACGGGGUGUUCUGGCUGUGCCGCAUGGUGUGGCUGGGAAAGAUUCACUUUUGUGGUGUUUUGGUGGGGGAUGGGCUCGCGGCCUAUCAGCUUGUUGGUGGGGUGAUGGCCUGCCAAGGCUUUGACGGGUAGCCGGCCUGAGAGGGUUGGCGGUCACACUGGGACUGAGAUACGGCCCAGACUCCUGCGAGAGGCAGCAGUGGGGGGUAUUGCACAAUGGGCGGAAGCCUGAUGCAGCGACGUCGCGUGAGGGAUGGAGGCCUUCGGGUUGUGAACCUCUUUCGCCGGUGAAGAAGGUCCUGCUCUUUGUGGUGGGGUUGACGGUAGCCGGGUUAUGAAGCGCCGGCUAACUACGUGC